ensembl:lncRNA
AGUCGCCCCCUGCUGGUCACUACAGAGAAUGCAUUUUGAAUGGCUUCACGUGAGAGCAGCAGAAAAAUAGUUUACUGCUGUCUGAGGCGGAGGCGGAGCUUGCCGCCUUGGAGGAGCUUCGGCUGAGCAGAGCGAUGGCUUAUGUCUCCAUCGACCCCAGCAGUGUGGGUGGCUGUUUGAGUCUGGAGGAAGUUCGCUUGAAGCAGCAGCAGGAAAUGAUGGAAGCAAAGAAGAAACAGAAACCGGUGUGAAAACUCAUUUACGUUUCAUUUCAUGAAAAGAACAAAAGUGCGAGAGCACCAAAAGUAAUAGAGGUUUUCAGAGUUGUGUUAUGUCAUUUUAUAAUACAUAGUUGUUUAAUCACAAUAAUCUGAAUCUGUGAUGUAACUAGACAAAUCCCUGUGAAAGGUUCUUGAAGUAUCAAGCAGUACAUUAAGUGUACUUGAGAUAUUUGUGUAGUAAAGCUAAAUCAUUUGUGGUGAUUUGCCUUGUUGUUGUUUUAAGGUGAGUUGUUGAGGCAAACGUGGAACGCUGAGUCAACUCUCCUCGUCUCUGGCAGCUGAACUCAAAGUGAUUUUAAACUGGAUUAUCUUCACUUAUCUAAAGACUAAAUGUCAAUAAAUAAUGUACAAAAGUGGCUCACAGAAAUGUAUACGUUUUGAUAACUGUUGUUCAGUGUGUGUUGUGUAAUAUAUUUUUUAAUAUAAAAUGUAUUUAUUAAUGGUUGUUCACUGCAAAUUACAAAUAUAUUGCGUUAAUGUAGAAAGAAACACAAAUGUACAAAUAAACCCUGAAUGAGGCCGUGGGUUACUUCCAAUCAAGUGGAAGUGGUCCCCACAUUUAACUUCAACUGGAAGCCACAUAUUAGACACAUAUAAGACACAUGUAAGACACGUCAAAAGCAGUCCGUCUCUCUAGAAGCAAUAAACUGUUAAAUUCAUGCUAAAGGUCUGACAUGUCUGCUUGAGUCUCAUUCAGCUGUUGACGAGGCUCAUGGGAAAUGUUGCAUAUAGCGCGAUUAAAUAACCCCCACUUGAUUUGUAAGAAAUCAAUUUACAGUCGUGGAGGAAUUUAGACAUUUUUACUUAAAUAAAAGUAUCUAUGACGCAAGAGAAAGUCACGUGUCCAGGAGAAAAAUGUAUCCAAAGCAUCAAAGUAAAAGUAAGAAAACGUUAUUAUCAAGCAUUCACUGUGCAGAUGUGGGCAGCAUUUUAAUAUUGCAGCUGGCUGCAGUAGUCUUUCUGUCAGUUUUACGGUAUUUUAUAGGUAUUGUCUUUGUAAUGUUGUUUAUCAUUUUAAUAAUAUUUCAUAAAUUAAAAAUAUUUAUUUUGUGAUCAGCUGGUAUUGUCUG